rnacentral:rRNA from 1 species
AGUAAAAGUCGUAACAAGGUCUCCGUUGGUGAACCAGCGGAGGGAUCAUUACCGAGUUUUCAACUCCCAAACCCUUAUGUGAACCUACCUAUCGUUGCUUCGGCGGACUCGCCCCAGCCGGACGCGGACUGGACCAGCGGCCGCCGGGGACCAUCAAACUCUUGUAUUAUCAGCAUCUUCUGAACACGCCGCAAGGCAAAACAAAUAAAUUAAAACUUUCAACAACGGAUCUCUUGGCUCUGGCAUCGAUGAAGAACGCAGCGAAAUGCGAUAAGUAAUGUGAAUUGCAGAAUCCAGUGAAUCAUCGAAUCUUUGAACGCACAUUGCGCCCGCCAGCAUUCUGGCGGGCAUGCCUGUUCGAGCGUCAUUUCAACCCUCGACCUCCCUUUGGGGAAGUCGGCGUUGGGGACCGGCAGCACACCGCCGGCCCUGAAAUGGAGUGGCGGCCCGUCCGCGGCGACCUCUGCGUAGUAAACCAACUCGCACCGGAACCCCGACGUGGCCACGCCGUAAAGCACCCAACUUCUGAACGUUGACCUCGAAUCAGGUAGGACUACCCGCUGAACUUAAGCAUAUCAAUAAGCGGAGGAAAAGAAACCAACAGGGAUUGCCCCAGUAACG